GGGGGGACGGUUUCCGGAAUUAUUGGGCGUAAGAGCUCGUAGGCGGUUUGUCGCGUCUGCUGUGAAAUCCCGAGGCUCAACCUCGGGUCUGCAGUGGGUACGGGCAGACUAGAGUGCGGUAGGGGAGAUUGGAAUUCCUGGUGUAGCGGUGGAAUGCGCAGAUAUCAGGAGGAACACCGAUGGCGAAGGCAGAUCUCUGGGCCGUAACUGACGCUGAGGAGCGAAAGGGUGGGGAGCAAACAGGCUUAGAUACCCUGGUAGUCCACCCCGUAAACGUUGGGAACUAGUUGUGGGGACCAUUCCACGGUUUCCGUGACGCAGCUAACGCAUUAAGUUCCCCGCCUGGGGAGUACGGCCGCAAGGCUAAAACUCAAAGGAAUUGACGGGGACCCGCACAAGCGGCGGAGCAUGCGGAUUAAUUCGAUGCAACGCGAAGAACCUUACCAAGGCUUGACAUACACCAGAACGGGCCAGAAAUGGUCAACUCUUUGGACACUGGUGAACAGGUGGUGCAUGGUUGUCGUCAGCUCGUGUCGUGAGAUGUUGGGUUAAGUCCCGCAACGAGCGCAACCCUCGUUCUAUGUUGCCAGCACGUAAUGGUGGGAACUCAUGGGAUACUGCCGGGGUCAACUCGGAGGAAGGUGGGGAUGACGUCAAAUCAUCAUGCCCCUUAUGUCUUGGGCUUCACGCAUGCUACAAUGGCCGGUACAAAGGGCUGCAAUACCGUGAGGUGGAGCGAAUCCCAAAAAGCCGGUCCCAGUUCGGAUUGAGGUCUGCAACUCGACCUCAUGAAGUCGGAGUCGCUAGUAAUCGCAGAUCAGCAACGCUGCGGUGAAUACGUUCCCGGGUCUUGUACACACCGCCCGUCAAGUCAUGAAAGUCGGUAACACCUGAAGCCGGUGGCCCAACCCUUGUGGAGGGAGCCGUCGAAGGUGGGAUCGGUAAUAGGAUAUCUAAGGGGAGGGGGGAAAAAAAAAAAAAAAAAAAAAAGG
rnacentral:rRNA from 1 species